CAGUAGCCGCGGGAAUACGGAGGGUGCAAGCGUUAAUCGGAAUUACUGGGCGUAAAGCGCACGCAGGCGGUUUGUUAAGUCAGAUGUGAAAUCCCCGAGCUUAACUUGGGAACUGCAUUUGAAACUGGCAAGCUAGAGUCUUGUAGAGGGGGGUAGAAUUCCAGGUGUAGCGGUGAAAUGCGUAGAGAUCUGGAGGAAUACCGGUGGCGAAGGCGGCCCCCUGGACAAAGACUGACGCUCAGGUGCGAGAGCGUGGGGAGCAAACAGGAUUAGAUACCCCUGUAGUCCCUGUCUCUUAUAC
rnacentral:rRNA from 1 species